rnacentral:lncRNA from 10 species
UGUCAUAUAAGCAAAUUAUGUGGCACAGAAGUUUGGUGUAUGGAUUAUUUCAUCACCCAGAAACACAUAAAACAGUGGUCUUCUCCUCUGAUGUGAUUUUACUAAGUAUUCCUUCACUCUUCAGUUUAGAAAGAGCUGAAUUACUCAAAGAAAUAAACAACAAAACAUUCUGUACUUCAUCAGGUCAGAAAAGCUGACUUUUGAGAAGAUAAAAUUUGAAGUAAGAAGAUAUGGAAUAAUUUUUCAUUAUUCAUUUCAAACUUUCAAAUGUAAUUGUCUUUCAAGUUUCUUACACUUAACCUGAGGCACUUUUUCUGCAUUUUUGUAAUUGAUUAUGAGACUCGCUACUUGUAUCUUCCUUUCUGAUUUGUUUAUUCUAGGAUACUUUUACAAGAAAAAUUAAUCUUCAGUGUUUAAAAAUAAAAUAUCUCAACAUUUGCAA